rnacentral:misc_RNA from 1 species
GAGAGAGAGAGAGAGAGAGAGUUUAGAGCUGUGGAGAGAAAAGAGAGAAGUGGAGAUCAGAAGCAGAGAGAGAGAAAGAGUAGAAGGAGGGAAAGAUGGAAAAAUAUUUGACCUCUCCCACAGAGAAAGAAAAAGAGAAAGAGGUGGCGCGGAUGUGAAUCGGGAAUUAAAUGGAUCGAUUAACCGGAUUUUAUAAAAGCGAGAAGAAUCCGGAAACCGGAUAGAUCGUAUCGGCCCACCUGCUCACCCAAGACCAUAGAGCAUUAUAU